UUCAAGAGCCGCGGUACCCUGACCGUGCAAAGGUAGCAUAAUCAUUAGGAGCUUAAUUGGAACCUUGUAUGAAGGGCUGAACAAAAAAAGAGCUGUCUCUACUUCAAAAUUUGAAUUUGACUUUUAAGUGAAAAGGCUUAAAUUCCUUAGAGGGACGAUAAGACCCUAUAAAACAUUCUGUUGGGGCGACAAAGGUAUAAAUUCUAGCUACCUAACCUUUAUACAGUUUAAGCGUACUGAUCCUUUCUAGAGAUUAAAAGACUAAGUUACUUUAGGGAUAACAGCGUUAUUUCUUUUCAGAGUCCUUAUCGAAAAAGAAGAUUACGACCUCGAUGUUGAAUUAAAUUAUCUACGCAAUGCAGCCGUUGCAAAAGAGGGUCUGUUCGACCUUUAAUUAUUU
rnacentral:rRNA from 1 species